rnacentral:tRNA from 1 species
GGAGUUUUAGCUCAGUGAUAGAGUGCUUGCCUUGUAUGUGUGAGGCGCUGGGUUCAAUUCCCAGCACCA